GAACUAGAGACCGGCGCACGGGUGCGUAACGCGUAUGCAAUCUACCUUUCACAAAGGAAUAGCCCAGAGAAAUUUGGAUUAAUACCUUAUAGUAAUACGACUUGGCAUCAAGAUGUAUUUAAAGAUUUAUCGGUGAAAGAUGAGCAUGCGUCCCAUUAGCUAGUUGGUAAGGUAACGGCUUACCAAGGCAACGAUGGGUAGGGGUCCUGAGAGGGAGAUCCCCCACACUGGUACUGAGACACGGACCAGACUCCUACGGGAGGCAGCAGUGAGGAAUAUUGGACAAUGGGCGCAAGCCUGAUCCAGCCAUGCCGCGUGCAGGAUGACGGUCCUAUGGAUUGUAAACUGCUUUUAUACGAGAAGAAACACUCCGACGUGUCGGAGCUUGACGGUAUCGUAAGAAUAAGGAUCGGCUAACUCCGUGCCAGCAGCCGCGGUAAUACGGAGGAUCCAAGCGUUAUCCGGAAUCAUUGGGUUUAAAGGGUCCGUAGGCGGUCAGAUAAGUCAGUGGUGAAAGCCCAUCGCUCAACGGUGGAACGGCCAUUGAUACUGUCUGACUUGAAUUAUUAGGAAGUAACUAGAAUAUGUAGUGUAGCGGUGAAAUGCUUAGAGAUUACAUGGAAUACCAAUUGCGAAGGCAGGUUACUACUAAUUGAUUGACGCUGAUGGACGAAAGCGUGGGUAGCGAACAGGAUUAGAUACCCUGGUAGUCCACGCCGUAAACGAUGGAUACUAGCUGUUGGGAGCAAUCUCAGUGGCUAAGCGAAAGUGAUAAGUAUCCCACCUGGGGAGUACGUUCGCAAGAAUGAAACUCAAAGGAAUUGACGGGGGCCC
rnacentral:rRNA from 1 species